UCACUUCUGCAGUGUGUAUACUAAAAUGCAGAGAAGAUUAGAAUGGCUCCUGUACAAGGAUGACACAAGUUGAUGAAGCAUUCUAUAUUUUU
rnacentral:snRNA from 1 species